rnacentral:rRNA from 1 species
UACGUAGGGGGCAAGCGUUGUCCGGAAUCAUUGGGCGUAAAGCGCGUGUAGGCGGUCCGGUAAGUCCGCUGUGAAAGUCGGGGGCUUAACCCUCGGAUGCCGGUGGAUACUGUCGGGCUUGAGUACGGAAGAGGCGAGUGGAAUUCCUGGUGUAGCGGUCGAAAUGCGCAGAUAUCGGGAAGAACACCCGUGGCGAAGGCGGCGCUCUGGGACGGUACUGACGCUGAGACGCGAAAGCGUGGG